UACGGAGGAUCCGAGCGUUAUCCGGAUUUAUUGGGUUUAAAGGGUGCGUAGGCGGUUUGAUAAGUUAGAGGUGAAAUGUCGGGACUCAACCCCGAAACUGCCUCUAAUACUGUUGGACUAGAGAAUAGUUGCGGUAGGCGGAAUGUAUGGUGUAGCGGUGAAAUGCUUAGAGAUCAUACAGAACACCGAUUGCGAAGGCAGCUUACCAAACUAUAUCUGACGUUGAGGCACGAAAGCGUGGGUAGCAAACAGG
rnacentral:rRNA from 1 species